UUUACUGUAAUAAAUAAGAUGAGACUUCUAUUACAAUAUAAGAGACUUCUUUAAAAAAAAAAAUGUAAUUAUAAAAUCGUAAGUAUUUUAAAACAGUGGUAUAUUUCUAAUGGAUUUUUUUUACAUCCCAUUCAUUUCACCAUGAUCAGACAAAUAAGCUGACAAAGAAGGAAAUUCAAUGGCAACAUUAACAUUAGCUUUGCAUGUGUUCGACUGUCAACAACAUGCUAAAUGAGUUAGCAUUUGUCCUGCAGAUGCACAGUAGAUCAUUUACCAUCAACAUUAGCUAAACAGGUUUUAUUAUGCCUGAAUACAUGAACUUUGACUCACUGUUGUGUUUUAUUUAUUUGAAUAUUUACAUAAUAGCAGCAAAUAUCUCCCUGGGUACUGCUAUGCUGUGACAUCAUACACCUGAAUCCUGGCAGUUGUGGAUUUCCACACACAUUUCUAAACUGGAACCUCAAAUGGGAUUCAAUCAGAGUGGGAAAUUAAAUGCUGGAAAAAUCUGGAUUUAACUUCCAGCUACACUGUCAUCCCAUUUUACAACAAUGGGAAACUGCAGCGUCAGAGGGCAAAAGAGUUGCGAGAGAGCAGCAGAUGGCUUCACUCUGUGUGAGUUUGCCGUGGAGUGUGACUUUGCCUCUGGUUGUGCCACUGAUGUUGCUAUCCACCAAGUCAACAGCCAACCGGUGAAGUCAGUCUGUUCAGUCAUCCCACCCUCUGACAGAAAGACAGUCUGUGCCUUAGUGAAGACACAAACAUAAAUUAAUACAUUAGUAUAAAGUUUUAAAAAAGAUCAUAUGAUGCAAAAUUCCAAGUCACAGAACAUUAAUUCUGAUAUAGUCCUCUCUUAGCUCUUAAAGCUACAUUGUGUGUGUGUGUCUGUGUGUGUGUGUGUGUGUGUGUGUGAGAGAGAGAGAGAGAGAGAGAGAGAGAGAGAGAGAGAGAGAGAGAGAGAGAGAGAGAGAGAGAUUUUCUUGAUUUCUCUGGUCCCAGCUUAAAAGAUUAGUUUUCCCAAAAAUAAAAUUCCGUCAUCAUUCACUCACCCACAUGCCAUUCCAAACUUGUAUGCCUUUUUUCUUCGUCGGAACACAAAAGUGAUUUUCUUAAGAAUUUUCCAGCCACUCAAUAUAUAACUGCUGAUGUCAAACUCCAAAAUGACAAAUGAGCGUCAAAAAUAAAU